rnacentral:rRNA from 1 species
AUUGAACGCUGGCGGCAUGCCUUACACAUGCAAGUCGAACGGCAGCGGGGGAGAAGCUUGCUUUUCCUGCCGGCGAGUGGCGAACGGGUGAGUAAUACAUCGGAACGUGCCCUGUAGUGGGGGAUAACUAGUCGAAAGAUUAGCUAAUACCGCAUACGACCUGAGGGUGAAAGUGGGGGACCGCAAGGCCUCCUGCGAUAGGAGCGGCCGGUGUCUGAUUAGCUAGUUGGUGGGGUAAAGGCCUACCAGGGCGACGAUCAGUAGCUGGUCUGAGAGGACGAUCAGCCACACUGGGACUGAGACACGGCCCAGACUCCUACGGGAGGCAGCAGUGGAGAAUUUUGGACAAGGGGCGAAAGCCUGAUCCAGCAAUGCCGCGUGUGUGAAGAAGGCCUUCGGGUUGUAAAGCACUUUUGUCCGGAAAGAAAUGGCUCUGGUUAAUACCUGGGGUCGAUGACGGUACCGGAAGAAUAAGGACCGGCUAACUACGUGCCAGCAGCCGCGGUAA